GACGUAGGUUGCGAGCGUUAUUCGGAUUCACUAGGCGUAAAGCGUGUGUAGGCGGAUCGUUAAGUGCCUUGUGAAAUCCCACGGCUUAACCGUGGAACUGCUUGGCAUACUGGCGGUCUUGAGCCACUUAGGGGCAACCGGAACAAAUGGUGGAGCGGUGAAAUGCGUAGAUAUCAUUUGGAACGCCAAUGGUGAAAACAGGUUGCUGGGAGUGUGCUGACGCUGAGACACGAAAGCCAGGGGAGCGAACGGG
rnacentral:rRNA from 1 species